AACGAACGCUGGCGGCAUGCCUAAUACAUGCAAGUCGAACGAGAUCUUCGGAUCUAGUGGCGCACGGGUGCGUAACGCGUGGGAAUCUGCCCUUGGGUUCGGAAUAACUUCUGGAAACGGAAGCUAAUACCGGAUGAUGACGUAAGUCCAAAGAUUUAUCGCCCAAGGAUGAGCCCGCGUAGGAUUAGGUAGUUGGUGAGGUAAAGGCUCACCAAGCCGACGAUCCUUAGCUGGUCUGAGAGGAUGAUCAGCCACACUGGGACUGAGACACGGCCCAGACUCCUACGGGAGGCAGCAGUAGGGAAUAUUGGACAAUGGGCGAAAGCCUGAUCCAGCAAUGCCGCGUGAGUGAUGAAGGCCUUAGGGUUGUAAAGCUCUUUUACCCGGGAUGAUAAUGACAGGACCGGGAGAAUAAGCUCCGGCUAACUCCGU
rnacentral:rRNA from 1 species